rnacentral:lncRNA from 1 species
CAAUGAGGAGAACUGCAGUGCGUGUUUGAGCUGAUGGAAUACUCUCCCACCUGGGGCUUCAAUGAGCCUGACUGGUUUUACUGCUGACAGUAAAUUUGUCUUUCCUUUCCCCUGACAGGUGAGAAGCCAUCCUCUCUUGAAUGGGGGCUCCCACUGUACAUCUGGCACCCACUUCACAGAUUCUGGGGGAUGUCAACACCAGCACUGCUGAGCUGUGUGACCUUGAGCAAGACAGUUAGCCUCUCUGAACCUCAGUGUCCUUCUCUGUAGGCUGGAGAUUGAUAUACCUUCAUUAUCGGGGUAUGAGAGUGUUAUAAGGUGGGAUGGUGGAACACGCUGACUGGUCUGGGCUAUUCAAGAUCCAUGAACUGGAAGAUGCUUUCUUAUAACUCAGAGAAAAGAGAUGAAAAUGAAUCAAAGAACAGGAAGGAGACAAGCUCAGGAGUGUGAAAACGGAUUAAUACGGAUUCCAUUAGCAGAAGCAGUUUUGGUGGGAAAAAGAUGAAGGGUGAAGAGGACUUUUACCUUAAAACAAUGAAGAGUCACCCUAAGAAGGAUGUGUGGAAGACUUGACUGGAGGAUCAAAAUGUGUCGGGGGAAGGUGUACAAGGAGGAGUAAGGACACAGAUGUCCUGACUUCACACAGUGGGGGAUUAGAAGCCACCAUCAAACACAGAUGAAACAGGAAUAAAAGUAGUAGUACAUUACUUAAGCUUUAAAAGGGUAAGACUCCUGGGAAUUUGGAAGCUGAGACUUGAGGAGCAGAGGCAUUUAGCUGUGUAAACACAGAGCUUCAGUGGCAGCACCCUAAAUGCUUAGCUGAUAGAUCCGGAAUUAAAUACAGACCUAGAAACUGGAGUUGGAAAACUUCCUGGCAGCACUCCUUCCCUGCCAUCCCGGUGAUCCCCUUCUGGAUGGAGGGUGUGGAGCUCAGCACAUUCACGUCUGCAGGUCAACUCUCCACCUUCCCACCCACUCUGUGCCUGGAAGGGUGACUCCUCUGGCCACCUCUGGCUUCUUGCUUGGUGUGAUCAAAGGAGACUGGAGGAUGCAAGGAGAGUGAAGCGGCUUGUUGGAUUUUGCUUGGCAUGGAAUUGAAUCAAUAGAUCAAUUUGGGAAGAAAUGACAUCUUGGAAGUAUUGAGAAUUUCAAUUCAUGAAAGUCUUGCUCCAUUGCCCUGGCUGGAGUGCAGCGGUGUGAUCCCCACUCACUGCAACCUCUGUCUCCCGGGUUCAAGCGAUUCUCCAGCCUUAGCCUCCUGAGUAGCUGGGACUACAGGCACGUGCCACCAUGCCUGGCUAAUUUUUUGUAUUUUUAGUAGAGACAGGGUUUCAUCAUGUUAGCCAGGAUGGUCUCAAUCUCCUACCUCAUGAUCCACCCGCCUCAGCCUCCCAAAGUGCUGGGAUUACAGACAUGAGCCACCAUGCCUGGCCCAGUGUUCUUUUCUUGUGCAGUCUAAUUUUGGUAUAAGGCUUUUGCUGGCUCUAUAAAAUGACAUGGAAAAUAUUUUCUCCUCUUCUACUCUCUGAAAAAGUUUGUGAAUAAUUUGUAUCAUUUGUUCUAUAAAUACACAAGAGAACUUAUCAGUGAAGUCAUCUGAAAAGGUUUUAAUCGUGAGAAGGUUAUACUGGUGAAUUUAAUUUCAUUACUACAUAUAAAACUAAUUAUGUUUCCUCUUUUUCUUGGAUAUGCUUGAAUAAUUGUGCAUUUCUAAUAUAUUUUAAUCCAAAUUGUCAAAUUUCAUCAAAAUUGUCAAAUUUCUUGGCAUACUAUCCCUGUAUUAGCCUUUUAAUGUCUGUAGAAUCUGUAGUAAUGUCUCCUAUUUUAUUUUUGGUAUUGAAUAUGUGUUUGUGUUUUUCCUUGGUCAGUCUUGCUAGUUUUAUUUACCAUUUCAAAGAAAUAAUCUACUUUAUUGAUUACCUUCGUUAUCUUUAUUAUUUCCUUACUUCUGUUAACAUUUUAUUGAAUUUGUCAUUUUUCUAGCCUUUGAGAUUGCAAGAUUAAAUUUUUUAUUUUGAAACCUUUCUGUGUUUCUAAUAUAAGCAAUUAAAGGUAUAAAAUUACUUCAAGUUCUACCUUAUAUGUAUCUCAUAAAUUUUAAAAUAUUAUAAAUUUAUUACUAUUUCAUUUAAGAUAUUUUAAAAUUUACCUUGCACUUUUUAAAAUUCAUGGCAUACUUGGAAGAUUUUGUUUAACUUUCCAACACAGUAGUGUUUUAAAAAAACAUAUUUUAUAUUUGUUAACUUCUAUUUUAACUCUAUUUAAUUUCAUCAUAGAGAAAAUACUAUGUAAUUUCAAUGCAUAACAUUUAUUGUGUCUUCUUUAAUUUCUUAACAGAUGGUCUGUCUUGGAGAAUGUUCCAUGUGCACUUGAAACAAAUAUGUAUGUUUUCUUGGAUAUAUACAGCUCAAUAGGUUAAAUUGUUUGAUAAUAUUCAGAUAUUCUUUUUCCUUACAGUUGUUUUGUCUAUUUGUUUUCUUAACCACCGGGGCAAGAAUAAAGUCUUCAGUUAUAAUUGUAAAUUUGUCUAUUUCUUCCAGUAGUUUUGUUAAAUUUGCCUAAUGUAUUUUGAAUAACUGUUUAUAUGUUGAUUCAUUUAGGAUUGUUAUGUCUUCUUGAUUAAUUGAUACUUUAUCAGUAUAAAAUAUCUGUCUUUGUCUUUAUGAAUAUUCUUUGUCUUGAAGUCUACUUUGCUUAUAAUAUAGCUGUAUUUUCUUUUUCAUGCAUAUUGUUUACAUGCCUUUUUACCUCCUUUUACUUUUCCCUACUUCUCUAUAUUUAAAGAGUAUUUCUUGUAGACACUUAGCAUAUUGCUUGCUUUUAUAUUUUUAGUGUUAACAUUAACAACAUUUUAUAUUAUUAUUGGCAUGGCUGGCUUUAAAUCUACCAUUAUAUUUAUUUUCUAUUUGCUUAUUGCUCCUUUUUUCCACUUUUGGAUUGAUAAUUUCUAGCAUUUUAUUUUUCCCUUGGCUAAAUCUCUUUGUUAGUUUUAGUAGCUUUGUGUACUUUCUGUAAUCACCAUCUCAUUCUUUCUAUUAUGAUCGUCAUACAUUUUACUUUCACAUAUGUUAAAAUGUCACCAUACAAUGUUAUUUUCUUUCUUCUAAUAAUCAAAUGUAGUUUAAGGAAUUAAGAAAUAAGGAAAAAGUAUUUCAUAUUUAAUCCAUAUAUUUGCCAUUUCUAGGUCUUUUAUUCUUUCAUGUAGACUUAUUCCUUCAUGUUGCAAUCUUCUAUCAGUUCCUUUCAGCCUGAAGAAGUAUCUUAAACAUUUCUGUGUAACAGAUCAACUUGUGAUUAUUUUCUUACUUUUGUUCAUCUAAAAAGUCUUUAUUUUUCUUUCCAUUUUGAGGGGUAUUUUCACUGGAUGUAUGCUUCUAGGUUGACAGGAUUUUCUUUCAGCAUUUUAAAGGUGUUAUUCCAUUGUCUCUGGCUUGCAAUAUCUCCGAUGAGAGAGAAGCUAUUAUGCUUAUCUUUGUUUUUCUAUAAGUAAGAGUCUUUUCCCCCUCUGUGUCUUAUCCCAUUUUGUGUUGCUCUAAAGGAAUACCUGAUGUUGGGUAAUUUAUAAAGAAAAGAGGUUUAUUUGGCUUUGGAAUUACACUUUGGAAUUAUUGGUGUCUGGAAAGUUCAAGACUGGGCAUCUGUAUCUGAUGAGGGACUCAGGCUGCUUCCAUUUCUGGCAGAAGGCAGAGGGGAGCCAAGAUCCUGUGGGGAGAGGGGAAGCAAAGGAGAGAGGAGGUGCUGGGCUCUUUUUAACAACCAGUUCUUUAAGGACCUAUUAGAGGUAGAAUUCUCUCACCCUUGAGAAAGGGCAUUAAUCAAUUCAUGAGGAAUUUGCUCCCAUGACCUGAACACCUCCCAUUAGCCCCACCUCCAACACUGUGAAUCAAAUUUCAACAUGAGGUUUGGAGGAAACAGACAACCAAACCAUAGCACUCUGGUUUGUUUAAUGUUUUUCCUCUUUAUCAUGAAUUUCCAGCAAUUAGAAUAUAAUGUUCAUUGGUGUGAUUUACUUUGAUUUUUAUCCUCCUGGAGGAUCAUUGAGCUCUUGGAUCUGAGGUUUUGUAUUUUUGACUUAAUUUGAGAUAUUUUCAGUCAUUAUUUCCUCAAAUAUUUUUAUCUGUACACUAUUUUCCUCAUCUUCUUUUGGGAUUUAUGUUUCACAUAUUUUAGAAUACUUGAUAUUGAGUUCCAAGUUACAGAAGCUCUUUUCAUUUCUUAUGACAACAUGCCCUAUACCCAAUGUAAUUAUUGAAGAAAAUUCAAUGUUUGCAUAGUAUGUAAUAGUAUGAAUGUGUAAUAAUUUACUUAUUAUAAUAAGAAGCUUCCAACAUAGAUCCCCCAAAUCUCACCUCCUGGUAUUCCCACUUGUAUGGAAUCCCUUCCUCUUGAGUAGGGGCUGGACCUAGCAACUUGCUUCUAAUGAGUAGAACACAGAAAAAUGAAUGGGAAAUCACUUCUAUGAUUAGAUUAUGAAACACUGCUAGCAGUCUCUUGCACUCUCUUGUCUCGCUCGUUAUGACAAUGUAAGCUUCAAUGUGGAGAGGCCCACAUAGCAAUAAAUGGAAGGAAGACUCUUAAAACAGCCAGAGAGUAACUGAGACCUUUGGAACUGAAUCCUACCAACAACCAUAUAAAUGAGCUUGGAUGUAGAUUCUUCUUCAGUUGAACCUUCAGAGAAAACCCCAGCCUCAGCUGCCACCUGAGAGCAGUCUUGUGAGAGGCCCCCAUUUAGAGAUCCCAGAAGAGCAACACCCAGAUAUCACAUACAUUGUGAUAUAAUAAAUCAUUACACUUUGGAAUUACACUUUGGAAUUAUUGAGUCAUUACACUUUGGAAUAAUUUGUUACACAGCAAUAGAUAACAAAUACGUUUCUUCUAUCUACUAUUUUUGGACAUGCCUCUUUCCUCUUUUAUUUGCUAUUAUAAGUAUUACUGCAUUAAAUAGCCUGGAGAAUAUAACUUCAUCUUCAGAAACUUAUUUACACAAGUGGCAUUGGUAAGUCAAAAAGUAUGAGCAGGCCUCAGUUUGGUAGUGCAUAUAAUAAAAGUUUGGAAUAAUACAAAGAAGAUUAACAUGGCCUCUACACAAAGAUAAUAUGCAAAUUCACGAAGUGAUCCAUAUUUUUUUUUACAAAGGCUUAAAACCCAUUCAAUGGAUGAAGGACAGUGUUUUCACCAAGUGGUGUUCUGUAUCUUGACUGUGGUUGUAAAUAUUAAUACAUGAACCUACACAUGGGAUUAAGUUGUACAGAACUACACAUGGGAUUAAGUUGUACAGAACUACACACACACACACACACACACACACACACACACACCAAUGAGCGUACGUAAAACUGGAGACAUCUGAAUGAGGGUGCUGAGUUGUAUCAAUGUCAGUAUGAGGUUGUGAAAUUAUACUGUGGUUUUUAAGAUGCUAUCAUUGGGGGAAACUAGGAAAAGAGUGUAUAUGAUCUAUGAUCAUUCUGUAUUAUUCCUUCCAACUAAAUGUGAAUCUAUAAUUAUCUCAAUAAACAUUGUAAUUUUUAAGUGAGA